GACGAACGCUGGCGGCGUGCUUAACACAUGCAAGUCGUACGAUGACCCGGCUCUUCGGAGCUGGUGAUUAGUGGCGAACGGGUGAGUAACACGUGGGUGACCUGCCCUGCACUCUGGGAUAAGCCCGGGAAACUGGGUCUAAUACUGGAUACGACCAGUGGCCGCAUGGUCUGCUGGUGGAAAGCCCUUCGGGGUGGUGUGGGAUGGGCCCGCGGCCUAUCAGCUUGUUGGUGGGGUGAUGGCCUACCAAGGCGACGACGGGUAGCCGGCCUGAGAGGGUGUCCGGCCACACUGGGACUGAGACACGGCCCAGACUCCUACGGGAGGCAGCAGUGGGGAAUCGUGCACAAUGGGCGAAAGCCUGAUGCAGCGACGCCGCGUGAGGGAUGACGGCCUUCGGGUUGUAAACCUCUUUCGGCAGGGAACAAGCCUGGGGGGUUUCUUCUGGGUGAGGGUACCUGCGGAAGAAGCACCGGCUAACUACGUG
rnacentral:rRNA from 1 species